GAUCAUGCUAGCUUACGUUGAGGUGCCGCAGGAUGUGAACUUGUGCCCCGAGGUGGUUGUCAAGGACUUCCCAGUGACUAGUGAAAAGAAAAUGUGUCAGCGGGGAAACAGACCGAGCUGCAGAUUAGCCGGCAGCGGUGACCCAACAUUGCUACGCCCUGGGUAACGUAGAACGCGACCGGACCCAGGGAAAGCGGCAGCCCGGCCCGGCAAUUGUGAGUGGCGCCUCGUGGGAAGAGACGCCCGUUGCGGUGAUGUAGAGACGCACACUGCCUCAUAGACGUCACUCGAUGGAGGAGGACGGGCUCAGCAGAAUGUCAGCUGCCUGAGUGCCCGUAGAUGAUGACGCCAAGGUAGACGGGGAGCAAAGGACGAACCGACGGUGUCAGCUCGGCGAGGAGACGAGACUAGGUAGGUGGGACGGAGGCGCCGGCAGGCCGUGCCCAGUGGACUGCGGGGCUCCACGGUUGAGAGGGAGGAAAGGGGACGCAGGUCCUGGACCGCUCUCGGGUCAGUUCCGCUCUGCCUCAGCUCUCGGGCAACCACACCACCUUGGCUCGCUUCGACGCCGCGUGGAGUCAGGGCGCCGACCGUGAAGCCGAAUGAGACUGCAUCGCCACCAGGCGCAGCUUCGGGUCGGCGAACAAAGCAGGCUGGGUGAAGCAGCAAGCUGGGAAGAAUCGAAAGAGCAUCAACCCUUAUACCGGUGUGUGUGUGUGUGUGUGUGAGUGGUAGUUCAGCCCUCACAUUAGCCCCCUUACAAAAAUCUACCGUAGGUAGAUUAAACUGAACUAACACGAUACAACGAAAAAUAAGCAAC